AGGAGACACCCAGAGGUCUCACUGAAGAGCAGACAGGCACAGAAGUUUGACAAGAACCCAUUCUGUCCACAGGUUCAUGUGAAGGAGAAAGGGAAGGACAAAAUCUCAAUAACACAAGGACAAUAUUUGGCACUGACCAGGCAGCUUCAGCUCCUGACAUACCUGGCAUAGCAUGGCUUGCAAGCAUUCCAAUCAAACAACCAGGGCGACUCAUUCUGGGGGCCAAUUUUAAUGGCAAAUGCAAGUGUCUCCUGACCCAUGUGGGAACUGAUAAAAGCCAGGUGCCUCCAUGAAGAACACCAAGCUGCUUCCCAGUGAAGGAACAUCUUACUGAGGUGACACCCACUAAGUCAACAUGACCACCUUCUGCCCUAUGUUUUGGCAUCACCCACCCAUAAAAUGAGAUUUUCUGACAAAA